rnacentral:rRNA from 1 species
UACGUAGGGCGCAAGCGUUAUCCGGAAUUAUUGGGCGUAAAGAGCUCGUAGGCGGUUUGUCGCGUCUGCCGUGAAAGUCCGGGGCUCAACUCCGGAUCUGCGGUGGGUACGGGCAGACUAGAGUGAUGUAGGGGAGACUGGAAUUCCUGGUGUAGCGGUGAAAUGCGUAGAUAUCUGGAGGAACACCGGUGGCGAAGGCGGCAUCCUGGACCGGCAUUGACGCUGAGGCGCGAAAGCCAGGGGAGCAAACGGG